rnacentral:piRNA from 1 species
UACACAGUCUUGGUGCAUCUAAAUUCCGC